CUGCAAGUCGAGCGACAGACGAGGAGCUUGCUCCUCUGACGUUAGCGGCGGACGGGUGAGUAACACGUGGAUAACCUACCUAUAAGACUGGGAUAACUUCGGGAAACCGGAGCUAAUACCGGAUAAUAUAUUGAACCGCAUGGUUCAAUAGUGAAAGACGGUUUUGCUGUCACUUAUAGAUGGAUCCGCGCCGCAUUAGCUAGUUGGUAAGGUAACGGCUUACCAAGGCAACGAUGCGUAGCCGACCUGAGAGGGUGAUCGGCCACACUGGAACUGAGACACGGUCCAGACUCCUACGGGAGGCAGCAGUAGGGAAUCUUCCGCAAUGGGCGAAAGCCUGACGGAGCAACGCCGCGUGAGUGAUGAAGGUCUUCGGAUCGUAAAACUCUGUUAUUAGGGAAGAACAAAUGUGUAAGUAACUAUGCACGUCUUGACGGUACCUAAUCAGAAAGCCACGGCUAACUACGUGCCAGCAGCCGCGGUAAUACGUAGGUGGCAAGCGUUAUCCGGAAUUAUUGGGCGUAAAGCGCGCGUAGGCGGUUUUUUAAGUCUGAUGUGAAAGCCCACGGCUCAACCCGUGGAGGGUCAUUGGAAACUGGAAAUCUUGAGUUGNANAAGNGGAAAAGUGGAAUUCCAUUGUG
rnacentral:rRNA from 1 species